CAAGUCGAAACGAUGAUGCCCAGCUUGCUGGGUGGAUUAGUGGCGAACGGGUGAGUAACACGUGAGUAACCUGCCCUUGACUUCGGGAUAACUCCGGGAAACCGGGGCUAAUACCGGAUAUGAGCCGCCUUCGCAUGGGGGUGGUUGGAAAGUUUUUCGGUCAGGGAUGGGCUCGCGGCCUAUCAGCUUGUUGGUGGGGUGAUGGCCUACCAAGGCGACGACGGGUAGCCGGCCUGAGAGGGCGACCGGCCACACUGGGACUGAGACACGGCCCAGACUCCUACGGGAGGCAGCAGUGGGGAAUAUUGCACAAUGGGCGAAAGCCUGAUGCAGCGACGCCGCGUGAGGGAUGAAGGCCUUCGGGUUGUAAACCUCUUUCAGCAGGGAAGAAGCGCAAGUGACGGUACCUGCAGAAGAAGCGCCGGCUAACUACGUGCCAGCAGCCGCGGUAAUACGUAGGGCGCAAGCGUUGUCCGGAAUUAUUGGGCGUAAAGAGCUCGUAGGCGGUUUGUCGCGUCUGGUGUGAAAACUCGAGGCUCAACCUCGAGCUUGCAUCGGGUACGGGCAGACUAGAGUGCGGUAGGGGAGACUGGAAUUCCUGGUGUAGCGGUGGAAUGCGCAGAUAUCAGGAGGAACACCGAUGGCGAAGGCAGGUCUCUGGGCCGCAACUGACGCUGAGGAGCGAAAGCAUGGGGAGCGAACAGGAUUAGAUACCCUGGUAGUCCAUGCCGUAAACGUUGGGCACUAGGUGUGGGGCUCAUUCCACGAGUUCCGUGCCGCAGCAAACGCAUUAAGUGCCCCGCCUGGGGAGUACGGCCGCAAGGCUAAAACUCAAAGGAAUUGACGGGGGCCCGCACAAGCGGCGGAGCAUGCGGAUUAAUUCGAUGCAACGCGAAGAACCUUACCAAGGCUUGACA
rnacentral:rRNA from 1 species